AGAGUUUGAUCAUGGCUCAGAUUGAACGCUGGCGGUAUGCUUAACACAUGCAAGUCGAACGGCAGCACAGUAUGUAGCAAUACAUAUGGGUGGCGAGUGGCGGACGGGUGCGUAACGCGUAGGAAUCUACCUUGAAGCGGGGGACAACCCGAGGAAACUCGGGCUAAUACCGCAUAAUCUCGCAAGAGUAAAGUUGGGGCAACCUGACACUUCAAGAGGAGCCUGCGUCCGAUUAGCUAGUUGGUGGGGUAAAAGCCUACCAAGGCGAUGAUCGGUAGCUGGUCUGAGAGGAUGACCAGCCACACUGGGACUGAGACACGGCCCAGACUCCUACGGGAGGCAGCAGUGGGGAAUAUUGGACAAUGGGGGCAACCCUGAUCCAGCAAUACCGCGUGUGUGAAGAAGGCCUUCGGGUUGUAAAGCACUUUAGUUGGGGAAGAAGGUAUGUAUUUUAAGAGAUAACAUAUUUGACGGUACCCAAAGAAUAAGCACCGGCUAACUCUGUGCCAGCAGCCGCGGUAAUACAGAGGGUGCGAGCGUUAAUCGGAAUUACUGGGCGUAAAGGGCGCGUAGGCGGUUAGUUAAGUUAGAUGUGAAAUCCCUGGGCUCAACCUAGGAACUGCAUCUGAUACUGGCUAGCUAGAGUGCAGUAGAGGGUAGUGGAAUUUCCGGUGUAGCGGUGAAAUGCGUAGAUAUCAGGAGGAACACCUGUGGUGUAGACAGCUUACUGGACCACGACUGACGCUGAGACACGAAAGCGUGGGUAGCAAACAGGAUUAGAUACCCUAGUAGUCC
rnacentral:rRNA from 1 species